rnacentral:rRNA from 1 species
GAUUAAGCUACUAAGAGCGUACGGUGGAUGCCUUGGCGCUAGAAGGCGAUGAAGGACGUGGCAAGCUGCGAAAAGCCUCGGGGAGCCGCAAGCAGGCUUUGAUCCGGGGAUGUCCGAAUGGAGAAAUCCAGCGGGAUGAACUCCCGUUACAGCAGGCUGAAUACAUAGGCCUGUAUGAGCUAACGCAGGGAAGUGAACCAUCUCAGUACCUGCAGGAAAAUAAAUCACAGAGAUUCCGAAAGUAGCGGCGAGCGAAAUCGGAAUAGCCCAAACCCAAGUGCUUGCACUUGGGGGUUGUAGGACCGCAUGAGUAGAGUUACCAAUCUGGAUGCUACGCGAACCCGAAGGAAAGCGGGACCAUAGAGUGUGACAGUCACGUAGCGGAAAGCAGACCAGACUCGAAGCGGUAUCCUGAGUACCACGAGACACGUGUAAUCUCGUGGGAAACUGGGGAGACCACUCUCCAAGGCUAAAUACUCUCUAGCGACCGAUAGUGAACCAGUACCGUGAGGGAAAGGCGAAAAGCACCCCUGCGAGGGGAGUGAAAUAGAACCUGAAACCGUAUGCUUACAAGCAGUCGGAGGGCCAUGUACGGACUUCGGUCCGUAAAAGCCUGACGGCGUGCCUCUUGCUUAAUGAGCCGGCUAGUUAUUCUUACGUGCAAGGUUAAGCGCAAGCGAGCCGUAGCGAAAGCGAGUCCGAAUAGGGCGACAAGUACGUAGGAAUAGACGCGAAGCGGGAUGAUCUACCCUUGGCCAGGUUGAAGGCUGCUUAACCGCAGCUGGAGGACCGAACAGGUGUGAGUUGAAAAUCGCUCUGAUGAGCUGAGGGUAGGGGUGAAAGGCUAAUCAAAUUCCGUGAUAGCUCGUUCUCCCCGAAAUGUCUUUAGGGACAGCCUUGCAUGAAUUCCCACGGUGGUAGAGCUCUGAAUGGACUAGGGACCAACUCAGGUUACCGAAUCCAAUCAAACUUCGAAUGCCGUGGAGAACUGUGCGGGAGUGAGACUACGAGGGAUAAGCUUCGUGGUCAAAAGGGAAACAGCCCAGAUCGCCAGCUAAGGUCCCUAACUGUAUGCUAAGUGGUAAAGGAAGUGUAUUCGCUCGGACAGCCAGGAGGUUGGCUUAGAAGCAGCCAUCCUUUAAAGAAAGCGUAACAGCUCACUGGUCAAGCGGAUAUGCACCAACAAUCCAACGGGGCUCAAGCAUACGACCGAAGCUGCGAAAUGGUUAUUUCUUCGGAAAUAAUCUUUGGUAGGGGAGCAUUGCGUGGUGAGCAAAGGCGGACUGAAAAGACUGCUGAAUGCCACACAAGAGACCCUGCCGGCAUAAGUAGCGAUAAACACGAUGAGAACUCGUGUCGCCGAAAGUCUAAGGUUUCCUGAGGAAGGUUAAUCCGCUCAGGGUUAGGCGGGUCCUAAGGUGAGGCCGAAAGGCGUAACUGAUGGACAGCAGGUCAAUAUUCCUGCCCCGCCUGGCAACGUUUGACGAUGGGGUGACGCAGAAGGAUAAAGGGAUCCACCUGAUGGAUGGUGGAUGACGAGCGUAAGCCGGUUCCCGUAGGCAAAUCCGCGGGGGCAUUCAACGGUGAGGCUCGGCACGUGGCCGUAUGGCCGACAAGUCUCUGAUUUCACGCUGCCAGGAAAAACCUCUAAGGAGUUAGCCAGGUGCCCGUACCACAAACCGACACAGGUAGACGAGGUGAAUAUCCACAGGCGCUCGAGAGAACGCUUGCUCAGGAACUAGGCACAUUAGCCCCGUAACUUCGGGAGAAGGGGCGCCAUCGCAAGAUGGCCGCAGUGAAUCGCGCUCUGCAACUGUUUAACAAAAACACAGCUCUCUGCUAAGUCGAAUACGACGUAUAGGGGGUGACACCUGCCCGGUGCCGGAAGGUUAAAGCAAGGGCUCAGCCCGCAAGGGCGAAGGCUCGAACUGAAGCCCCGGUGAACGGCGGCCGUAACUAUAACGGUCCUAAGGUAGCGAAAUUCCUUGUCGGGUAAGUUCCGACCUGCACGAAUGGUGGAAUGAUAGAGCGACUGUCUUGGCAAGCGGCUCGGCGAAUUUGUGGUUCCGGUGAAGACGCCGGAUGCCCGCAUCUAGACGGAAAGACCCCGUGCACCUUAACUGCACUCUGGUCAUGAGUAACGGUCCGAUCUGCGUAGCAUAGGCAGGAGUCUGUGAACCCCGGGUUUCGGCUUGGGGGGAGACAUCAGUGAAAUACUGCCCUGAUUGAACUGUCGCUCUAACCUACCACCCGUGACGGGUGGGGAGACACGGCCAGACGGGUAGUUUGACUGGGGCGGUCGCCUCCUAAACUGUAACGGAGGCGCUCAAAGAUCGGCUCAAGCGGAUUGGAAACCCGCUGUGGAGUGCAAGAGCAUAAGCCGGUUUGACUGUGAGACCUACAAGUCGAGCAGGAACGAAAGUUGGAUCUAGUGAUCCGGUGGUCCCGCGUGGAAGGGCCAUCGCUCAACGGAUAAAAGGUACGCCGGGGAUAACAGGCUGAUCUAAGCCAAGAGUUCACAUCGACGCUUAGGUUUGGCACCUCGAUGUCGGCUCAUCGCAUCCUGGGGCUGUAGAAGGUCCCAAGGGUUAGGCUGUUCGCCUAUUAAAGCGGUACGUGAGCUGGGUUCAGAACGUCGCGAGACAGUUCGGUCCCUAUCUGGUGUGGGCGCAGGAAACUUGAGAGGAGUUGUCCCUAGUACGAGAGGACCGGGAUGAACAGACCCCUUGUGUACGAGCUGUCCCGCCAGGGGCACCGCUCGGUAGCGAAGUCUGGUAGAGAUAAUUGCUGAAUGCAUCUAAGCAAGAAGCUCGCCUCAAGAUAAGGUUUCCCAAGGGAACAAUCCCUAUGAAGAGCAGUCGAAGACUACGACUUUGAUAGGCUGGAGGUGGAAGCACAGCAAUGUGUGGAGCUGACCAGUACUAAUCGCUCGUUCGGCUUAAUCAU